CAGAUUUUAAUGCAUUCUCUUUACGUUUAUGUUUGUAUAUAAUUAGCAUUUAGUGACGUAUUAAAUCCAUUUUUUAAAAGGAGAGAUAAAUUUGUCUGUUUAAUUACGUCCCAUCUUAUUUUCUGCACUGAAGACUAUGUUACACGAAACGUGAAUGUUAGUGUGAAUGUUAGAAAUCAUUUACAUAUCAUAUCGUACCUAAAUAUAGUGAUGAUGUGUAACAGAUUAUGACAAAAUUUUUACAGAGAGUUUUGGAUAGUUGAAACGACCCUUUUGAAUAGCUGAAACGACCCUUUUGAAUAGCUGAAACCACCCUUUUGAACAGCUGAAAACACCCUUUUGAAUAGCUGAAACGACCCUUUUGAAUACUGAAACGACUCUUUUGAAUAGCUGAAACGACCCUUUUGAAUAGCUGAAACUACCCUUUAGAAUAGCCGAAACCACCCUUUUGAAUAGCUGAAACGAACCUUUUGAAUAGCUGAAACGACCCUUUCGAAUAGCUGAAACGACCCUUUCGAAUAGCUGACACGACCCUUUCGAAGGGUAACUCUCCUACCCUUUGAGGAGUUAAAACUACCCUCUGAAAAGGGUAGAA